CCCGGGCCUUGUACACACCGCCCGUCACACCAUGGGAGUUGGUUUACCCGAAGACGGUGCGCUAACCGCAAGGAGGCAGCCGGCCACGGUAAGGUCAGCGACUGGGGUG
rnacentral:rRNA from 1 species